CCUACGGGUGGCUGCAGUGGGGGAUAUUGCACAAUGGAGGAAACUCUGAUGCAGCGACGCCGCGUGAGGGAAGACGGUCUUCGGAUUGUAAACCUCUGUCUUUGGGGAAGAAAAUGACGGUACCCAAAGAGGAAGCUCCGGCUAACUACGUGCCAGCAGCCGCGGUAAUACGUAGGGAGCGAGCGUUGUCCGGAAUUACUGGGUGUAAAAGGAGCGUAGGCGGGCGAGAAAGUUGAAUGUUAAAUCUACCGGCUUAACUGGUAGCUGCGUUCAAAACUUCUUGUCUUGAGUGAAGUAGAGGCAGGCGGAAUUCCUAGUGUAGCGGUGAAAUGCGUAGAUAUAAGGAAGAACACCAGUGGCGAAGGCGGAUGACUGGACGGCAACUGACGGUGAGGCGCGAAAGCGUGGGGAGCAAACAGGAUUAGAUACCCCAGUAGUC
rnacentral:rRNA from 1 species